CCUACGGGAGGCAGCAGUAGGGAAUAUUGCUCAAUGGGGGAAACCCUGAAGCAGCAACGCCGCGUGGAGGAUGAAGGUUUUCGGAUUGUAAACCCCUUUUGUUAGAGAAGAUAAUUACGGUAUCUAACGAAUAAGCACCGGCUAACUCCGUGCCAGCAGCCGCGGUAAUACGGAGGGUGCAAGCGUUACUCGGAAGCACUGGGCGUAAAGAGAGCGUAGACGGGAUAGCAAGUCAGAUGUGAAAUCCUUUGGCUUAACCAUAGAACUGCAUUUGAAACUGUUAUUCUAGAGUACGGGAGAGGUAGGUGGAAUUCGUGGUGUAGGGGUAAAAUCCGUAGAGAUCAAGAGGAAUACUGAUUGCGAAGGCGGCCUGCUAGAACAUAACUGACGCUGAUGCGCGAAAGCGUGGGGAGCAAACAGGAUUAGAUACCCGGGUAGUC
rnacentral:rRNA from 1 species